CCUCAAAUUAAGAAAGUAGAGGAAAGCUCUCUUUGCUGUGGUAUUACCAACCAAACCUGUGUUGAUUCUCUGCCAGCCAUGCUGUCUCCUUUCUGCUUGGGACUUGGAAUCUUGUUGAUGUUGGGAGGGACCAGUGGAGACUCAGUGAACCAGACAGAAGGCCCUGUUACCCUCCCAGAGGGGAAAAAUUUGACGCUGAGCUGUACUUACAAGACUACCUACAUCACUGCAGAAUAUCUUUUCUGGUAUGUCCAGUAUCAAAACAAAGAGCCUGUUCUCCUCCUGAAAAGCUCUCCGGAUAAUCAGGAGGUCCACAACAGAGGUUUUCAGGCCAAACUGGUGAAGACUGAGAAAUCCUUCCACCUGCAGGCACCGUCAGUGCAAAUGUCAGACUCAGCGGUGUACUUCUGUGCUCUGAGUGACACAGUGUGGGAGUCCACAGGGGGAGCUGAGCACAAACCCAGAGGGGCUCACACAGGGCUGCAGGGGAGCAGCCUGGCUAUUCUGGGAGCCCCUGGGAGCUUCCCUGGCUGUUCUCAGGAGACAUACAGGUAUUUGGCAGGGAAGUGGAGACUAUACUUUCUAAAUACAAACAAAAAUACUUAUUAUGGCAAACAUGUCUACUAACCCAGAGUGAAGGACAUGGUUUUUCUGUUCUGCUACUGUGUGUAUCCCAUUAAAACCACUUUUACCCAGUUAGUAAAUACAAGUAUGAUGUCAACAUGCUGUGGAAGUUUCACUGAUUCUCUGUGACUUUUCUAAGCACAUUAAUAAUUUAUGCUAAACCAAAGAACUAUCAGGAAAAGUUUCUCAUUAUAAAAAUGCCUCAAGUCUACUUUAAUGCAAGCAGAGUUUGUUUCAGUGUGUCAAGAAUUCCCAGAGUUUUCAAGGCAAGCAACCAGGUGAAACUGAGAGGAAGGGAAAAUGACUCUGGGGCUGUCCCCAAUUCUGAUCUUAACAUAUCAAUUUAUGAAGAACAAUUACAUUUAAAAAUUUGAUGAAUCUUGUCCUCUUGGAAGUACAUAUUCUCAUGAACCUGUAACUGAAGAAGAGAAACACAAGUUCUGAUGUUCAAGGCUACAAAGAUUUACUGGCUAUGAUGCAAGGGAGAAAUGCCACAGGUUAUUGAAUGUUGCUGGGACUUUUAAUAGGAUUUUAUUUUUAUAUAAUGCUCUGUUUACAAAGAUGUAUAGUCUAAGGAUUUUCCCUAUGCCAAUUUUCACCAUAAUUAAUAUGUGUGGUUUGGAAUCACAAGAGGAUUUUCAGAAAUACAUGUAUUGAUAUCUAACAGUAAU